GAUGAACGCUGGCGGCGUGCCUAAUACAUGCAAGUCGAGCGAACAGAUGAGGAGCUUGCUCCUCUGACGUUAGCGGCGGACGGGUGAGUAACACGUGGAUAACCUACCUAUAAGACUGGGAUAACUUCGGGAAACCGGAGCUAAUACCGGAUAAUAUAUUGAACCGCAUGGUUCAAUAGUGAAAGACGGUUUUGCUGUCACUUAUAGAUGGAUCCGCGCCGCAUUAGCUAGUUGGUAAGGUAACGGCUUACCAAGGCAACGAUGCGUAGCCGACCUGAGAGGAGGAUCAGCAACAGUGGAACUGAGACACGGGCCAGAAGACUACGGGAGGAAGGAGUCGGGAAUAUUGGAGAAGGGGUGCGAGCCGGAAGGAGAAAUACAGAGUGAGUACAAAAGGUAUUAGGGUUGUAAAACGACUUUAUGAGGGAAGAACAGAAGGCGAUGAAUAACUGCCUGCCGGGAGGGUACCUAAAAAGAAAGCAAGCGCUAACUUCGUG
rnacentral:rRNA from 1 species